GAUGAACGCUAGCGGGAGGCCUAACACAUGCAAGCCGAGCGGGAUUUGUUGGUUAGCUUGCUAACUAACAAUGAGAGCGGCGUACGGGUGCGUAGCACGUGUGCAACCUGCCUUUAUCUGGGGGAUAGCCUUUCGAAAGGAAGAUUAAUACCCCAUAACAUAUUGAUUGGCAUCAGUUAAUAUUGAAAGCUCCGGCGGAUAGAGAUGGGCACGCGUAAGAUUAGCUAGUUGGUGAGGUAACGGCUCACCAAGGCUGCGAUCUUUAGGGGGCCUGAGAGGGUGAUCCCCCGCACUGGUACUGAGACACGGACCAGACUCCUACGGGAGGCAGCAGUGAGUAAUAUUAGACAAUGGGUGAGAGCCUGAACCAGCCAUCCCGCGUGAAGGACUAAGGACCUAUGGUUUGUAAACUUCUUUUAUACAGGGAUAAACCUACUCUCGUGAGGGUAGCUGAAGGUACUGUAUGAAUAAGCACCGGCUAACUCCGUG
rnacentral:rRNA from 1 species